GAUGAAGAACGUAGCGAAAUGCGAUAAGUAGUGUGAAUUGCAGAAUUCAGUGAAUCAUCGAAUCUUUGAACGCACAUUGCGCCCCUUGGUAUUCCAUGGGGCAUGCCUGUUCGAGCGUCAUUAAAUAACCCUCAAGCAUAGCUUGGUGUUGGGCUUUUUUACGUCCUUGACUGGGAUGGGCCUAAAAAUUAGUGGCGAUGGCUUUUUUACUUUCAAGCGUAGUAAAUCUCGUCUUGCUAAAGAGGAAAAAGAUUUUUUUUCUGCCAAAAAUUUUAACAUUUAAAGUUGACCUCGGAUCAGGUAGGAUUACCCGCUGAACUUAAGCAUAUCAAUAAGCGGAGGA
rnacentral:misc_RNA from 1 species